CCUACGGGGGGCUGCAGUAGGGAAUAUUGCUCAAUGGGGGAAACCCUGAAGCAGCAACGCCGCGUGGAGGAUGAAGGUUUUCGGAUUGUAAACUCCUUUUGUUAGAGAAGAUAAUGACGGUAUCUAACGAAUAAGCACCGGCUAACUCCGUGCCAGCAGCCGCGGUAAUACGGAGGGUGCAAGCGUUACUCGGAAUCACUGGGCGUAAAGAGCGCGUAGGCGGGAUAGCAAGUCAGGUGUGAAAUCCUAUGGCUUAACCAUGGAACUGCUUUUGAAACUGUUAUGCUAGAGUGGGGGAGAGGGAGGGGGAAUGUUUGGGGUAGGGGGGAAAUGCGUAGAGAUCAGGAGGAAAAC
rnacentral:rRNA from 1 species